GCGCCAGUAGCUCAGUUGGAUAGAGCAACGGCCUUCUAAGCCGUGGGCCGGGGGUUCGAAUCCUCCCUGGCGCGCCA
rnacentral:tRNA from 3 species